rnacentral:rRNA from 1 species
GACGAACGCUGGCGGCGUGCUUAACACAUGCAAGUCGAGCGGUAAGGCCCCUUCGGGGGUACACGAGCGGCGAACGGGUGAGUAACACGUGAGCAAUCUGCCCAUCACAUCGGGAUAACUCCGGGAAACCGAAGCUAAUACCGAAUACGACCACCUUCGGCAUCGGAUGGUGGUGGAAAGUUCCGGCGGUGAUGGUUGAGCUCGCGGCUUAUCAGCUUGUUGGUGGGGUAACGGCUCACGAAGGGUUCGACGGGUAGCCGGCCUGAGAGGGUGACCGGCCACACUGGGACUGAGACACGGCCCAGACUCCUACGGGAGGCAGCAGUGGGGAAUAUUGCACAAUGGCCGAAAGCCUGAUCCAGCAACGCCGCGUGAGGGAUGACGGCCUUCGGGUUGUAAACCUCUUUCAGCAGGAACGAAGCGCAAUUGACGGUACCUGCAGAAGAAGCACCGGCCAACUACGUG